UUGAAAAAUUUUUAAAAAAAAAGAAAAAUUAAUUAUUUGUACCUUGUGUAUCAGGGUUUAUUAAAUAAUUAAUAAAAAUAUUUAUUAAUCUCGAUUUUAUAAGAGUUAAUAAUUUAAUAAAGUUAAUGUAUUAAAAUUAUUUUUUAUAAAUUAUUAGAAAUGAAAUGUUAUUCGUUUAUAAAGGUAUCUAGUUUUUUUAGAAAUAAAUUAAAUUUAUAAAUUUUUGAUUUUAUUAAUUAUUUUAUUAAUUAAUAAAUUUAUUAAUUUUAAUAUUUAAGGGGAUAAGCUUUUAAAUAAAUUAUUAUAAAUUUAAUUAAGUAAUUAUUUAAAAAUAUAUGCAUAGAAUUAGCAAUUAUUGUAAAAUUUGUUAUAAGUUAUUUUAUUUAUAUAUAUUAUUUAUUUAUUUUUUAAUUUAAUUUUAUAAAAAUAUUUUUUUUAAUUUAAUUUAAAAAGUAAUAAUGAUAAAAUUAGUAUAUAUAUAUGUAAAAAUAAUUUUAUUUGAUAAGUUUAUAUAAAGAACUCGGCAAAUAUUUUACUCGCCUGUUUAACAAAAACAUGUCUUUUUGAGUUAUUUUUAAAGUCUAACCUGCCCAAUGAAUAAUUUUUAAUGGCCGCAGUAAUUUGACUGUGCAAAGGUAGCAUAAUAAUUAGUCUUUUAAUUGAAGGCUUGUAUGAAUGGUUGGACGAAGUAUAAUCUGUUUCAUUUAAAUUUAAUAUAGAAUUUAAUAUUUUAGUAAAAAAGCUAAAAUUUUUUUAAAAGACGAGAAGACCCUAUAAAUCUUUAUAAUCUGAAAUUUAAAUUUUUUUUUGAUUUAAUUUAAUUUUAAUAAUUCAGAUUAUUUUAUUGGGGUGAUAUUAAAAUUUAAAUAACUUUUAAUUUAAUUUUUUCAUUAAUUUAUGAUUUAUUGAUCCAUUAAUAAUGAUUAUAAGAAUAAGUUACUUUAGGGAUAACAGCGUAAUUUUUUUGGAGAGUUCUUAUUGAUAAAAAAGUUUGCGACCUCGAUGUUGGAUUAAGAUAUAAUUUUAGGUGUA
rnacentral:rRNA from 1 species